UCCCAAUGUGCUGGGCGCGAUUGACUGUACCCACGUGCAGAUCAGACCGCCACGGAAUUCAGAGGAAUGUUUUCGGAACCGAAAACAGUUCCAUUCCCUGAACGUGCAGGCGGUCUGUGAUGUAAACAUGAGAUUUUUGAACAUUUUUGUGGGAUUUCCUGGAUCAUCUCACGACUCCUUCAUCCUAAGCCAGUCAUCGCUGUUUGACAAGUUUGAAACAGGAAACAUGCCUGGUGGCUGGCUGUUAGGCGAUGCGGGUUAUCCAAACAAACCGUGGCUGUUGACCCCAUUGUCUAAUCCUGUUGGUAGAGCAGAAAAACGUUACCAAGAGACACACAUUGCAUCGAGGGGAGUAAUUGAGCGUGCCUUCGGUGUACUUAAAAGCCGGUUUCGAUGUUUAGACACUUCCGGCGGUGCUCUUUUGUACUCACCGUCGAAGGUUUGCGGCAUGGUAAAUGCAUGUUGUAUUUUACACAACAUAUGUGUCGCAAACCGUUUGCCGGUGACUCUUCGUCGCAGUGCUUUCCGACGCGGGAACCGGUCUUCUGCUCUACCGGUGGGUAUGGACGAAGGAGAGGAUUCCCGGCGGACAUUGAUCCAAAAUUAUUUUGCAGUUGCCUAGUUUUACAUCCUGUUGAUGUAUAUCCCCAGGCCAUGGCCCUCAUUCCGAGUUGUUCGCUCGGUAUUUUUCAUCGCAUCGCAGUGAAAAUCCGCUUAGUACGCAUGCGCAAUGUUCGCACUGCGACUGCGCCAAGUAACUUUACUAUGAUGAAAGUAUUUUUACUCACGGCUUUAUCUUCGCUCCGGCGAUCGUAAUGUGAUUGACAGGAAAUGGGUGUUACUGGGCGGAAACACGGCGUUUCAGGGGCGUGUGGCUGAAAACGCUACCGUUUCCGGAAAAAACGCAGGAGUGGCCGGGGAAACGGUGGGAGUGCCUGGGCGAACGCUGGGUGUGUUUGUGACGUUAACCAGGAACGACAAGCACUGAAAUGAUCGCACAGGCAGAGUAAGUCUGGAGC